UAUAAUCUUAAUGUUAUUAUGUCAAUAAUGUUAUUAUAACUACUUAUUGCACAGAUAAAUGAAACAGUGGAGCACGUUCUGGAGGAAGAAAUUGUCACCUCUGCUCUUAAAGUCCAGGACCAGGUAUUCAGCGCAGUAAAGAAAAAUAUGCAAACAGCAAGAGACAAAACAAGGCAGAAGAAAGAGCAGGGUCUUGGGGCCACACAACACAAAUUGAAAAUUGGAGAUAGGGUUCUCAGAAAGAAUGUAAGGAGUCAGCAUAGAAAAGGAGGAAAGCUUGACAAAGAACUUCUGGGUCCUUUCACAGUACUGUCCAUUGAUGGAAAGAAUGUUGACUUGAUUAAUGAAAAAGGGAUAAAAUUUCAAAAAAUUAGUCUUGAUCAUCUGGUUCCAUACAUACGAGAGAGGCCAUGUGUGCCUCACAGACUUCAAAUGAAUUUCAGUUCUGUCCCACUGUCUCCUGCCGCAGCUGCCCAGAGCCCACUGUCUCCUGCCGCAGCUGCCCAGAGCCCUCUGUCUCCUGCCGCAGCUGCCCAGAGCCCUCUGUCUCCUGCCGCAGCUGCCCAGAGCCCUCUGUCUCCUGCCGCAACUGCCCGAGCCCUCUGUCUCCUGCCGCAACUGCCCAGAGCCCUCUGUCUCCUGCCGCAGCUGCCCAGAGGCCAAUGUCUCCUGCCGCAGCUUUCAAAUCACUCUCCAAAGUUGAGCAAAGUACCUGACAUUUUGUUUGCAUACAUCUAAUUAUUUUAUACACCACAACGUGAAUUGUUUUAUUUCAAAAGUUGUCACAAAAUAUAUAUUUUUUUAUUUUUGCUAAACUUUGGCAGGUGUUGAUGCAGCUUGAUGCAGCAUUGAAGAUAAGAAAACUGUUUUUCAUAGUUUUUGUUCCUUUUUUUAAGCUGCAACCUUUCUGUAGAUUCAUUUGCCUGUUGCAUGUAUUAUGUAGUAUGUAUUUUUUAUAGCUAUUUUUUUUUUUUGCAUUGUGGCAUUUGUUUCAGGCCAUGUAUCCAUUUGAAAAAAGACAGUGUUUCUGGAUUCACUGGGGGAAUCUGAGGUGAAAAUACGCAAAUGCCUUGACAGCACAAGAGCCUUUAUGAGAAGUAAAGGGUGCAAUGUGUCAAGGUGGAGGUGUGAGAUUCUCCCAUACUCACUACAAAGAGAUGGAGUGUCAUGUGGUGUAUUUGUGUGCAAGAUUGCCUGCAAUGCAUGCGACAGGUGGUUUCAUAUGUCUUGCAGUGAAAACCCACGAACGGAUGUGGACUUUUUUUGUGGACAGUGUGAAGUUAUAAGACUGAUAUAACAGAUUAGCAAAUCCCCCCCCC